GAAGGGGUUACGGCGCUCCCAGCUGACAGUCAGCUGAUUGCGCCCUGAUUGACAGCCCCGAAAAGUUUCCUUGUUUCUAUACUAUUAUGCUAAUGCCGGCGGCUGCAGGCAGCCCAUUGGGCCGCCCGCCCAGCCAAUUUGCCAUUCGGAGGCUGACGUCAGGAGCGCUAUAAAACUCUGCAAUGCUUUUAAACUCUCCUGCUGGAUGAAACCUUUAAAAUAUUUUUCAUCUUCUUGCCGUAGCUUUGGGGUUGAGUUGUGUUUUGUUUUUUUUUUUCUCUCUCUCUCCUUUUUUUUUUUUUUAUGAUUGUUAUUAUUUUGGUUGCGAUAUCGACUUUGAUUUUUUUUUUGUCUUCGGUCUCUUCUCCCUCCUCCUUUCCCCGAUGAACCUCUCUCCUCGCUUUGCACUUUGCAUGAGAAAGCCCAGAGGAAAGGCACCAUGAAGUGUUAAAAAUAACCAAACUGAACCUAAAAAAAAAAAAAAAAGAAAAGAGAUUUACUCGCAACAACACCAGCUAACACUUCCAGCUGCAGUUUGCAAGCUGCAAAAAGAGAGAGAGGAGAGAGAGAGAGAGGAGGAAAAAAAAAAAAAACCUUUAUGCAAAAGGCGAAUAGCGAGAGCCCCUCGCUCUGAUGCAUCAGCAGCAGCGGAGACUCUGCAAGGGAUAACGCGGAGCCGGAGCGAGAGCGGCCGGGGCGGAGCGGAGCGGAGCCGGAGCCGAGGCUGCGGCGAGAGGCAGCGGCAGGAGGAGCGGUGCGGAGGGGUGCGGAGCGGUGCGGAGCGGUGCGGAGCGGAGCUCGCCCGGCAGCAAGCUGGCUCACCCGGCGGCAACUCAGAGCAGUCCCCUCGCUCCCGGAGCGCACCCUUUCUGGAGGACUGUCAGCAGCAAAAGGAUGGCAUCAGAACUGGCAAUGAGCGGCUCCGACCUGCCCACCAGUCCCCUGGCCAUGGAAUAUGUUAAUGACUUCGAUCUGAUGAAGUUUGAAGUGAAAAAGGAGCCGGUGGAGACCGACCGCAUUAUCAGCCAGUGCGGCCGCUUGAUCGCCGGGGGCUCGCUCUCCUCCACCCCGAUGAGCACGCCCUGCAGCUCGGUGCCCCCGUCCCCCAGCUUCUCGGCGCCCAGCCCCGGCUCCGGCAGCGACCAGAAGGGCCACCUGGAAGACUACUACUGGAUGACGGGCUACCCGCAGCAGCUCAACCCCGAGGCGCUGGGCUUCAGCCCGGAGGACGCGGUGGAGGCGCUCAUCAACAGCAGCCACCACCCGCUGCCCGGCGCCUUCGAUGGCUAUGCUAGAGGGCAGCAGCUGGCCGCGGCCGCCGGCUCCGGGGGCUCGGGGCCGGCCGAGGAGAUGGGCUCGGCGGCCGCCGUGGUGUCGGCGGUGAUCGCCGCGGCGGCGGCGCAGGGCGGCGCGCCCCACUACCACCACCACCACCACCACCACCCGCACCACGGCGCCGGGGGGCACCCCCACGGCGCGGCGCCGGGCAGCGCGCCGCCUUCCUCCUCCUCCUCCUCCUCCUCCUCCUCGUCGUCGUCGGCCGCCGGCUCCGGAGGCGGCGGCGGCGGCGGCGGCGGCGGCGGCGGGGGCGCCGGGGGGCUGCACCACCCGCACCACGGCGGAGGCGGCCUGCACUUCGACGACCGCUUCUCGGACGAGCAGCUGGUCACCAUGUCCGUGCGGGAGCUCAACCGGCAGCUGCGGGGCGUCAGCAAGGAAGAGGUGAUCCGGCUGAAGCAGAAGAGGAGGACCCUCAAAAACAGGGGCUAUGCCCAGUCCUGCCGCUUCAAGAGGGUCCAGCAGCGGCACGUCCUGGAGUCGGAGAAGAACCAGCUGCUGCAGCAAGUGGAGCACCUAAAGCAGGAGAUCUCCAGGCUGGUCCGGGAGAGGGACGCCUACAAGGAAAAGUACGAGAAGCUGGUCAGCAAUGGCUUCAGAGAAAACGGAUCCAGCAGCGACAACCCUUCCUCUCCAGAGUUUUUCAUGGGAGGCUGUGCAUAACUAAAGGAUCCGUCCGUGCAUCCAGAGCUUAGCUCCGGUGGGUCACCCAGGCAGCUCCAGUUGACUGACCGUCCCCUAGGUACCCGAGAGAAUCUUCUACAACGGUGAUGUGAAAUUCCCUGUUACCUGAGGUCAAAAAAAAAAAAGCACUGUAAGCACUGUCCAUUUGUGGAAGGGUAAUUCUGUAGUUUCCUGUGACAGCACAUUCAGAGCUUCAUUGACAUGGGAGCGGUGGCAGGUGAUGGCUCUGACUCCGAGUGUUGUUGCUGGAAGCACUGUAAGCUGUUGCAGAGUGAUGUACGUGGUGAGCCGCUUCUCAGAAGCCCAGUCAGCACAAACGAGAUCCCCGUCUUCUGUCCGAGCCACCCACACCACCAGCAAGCACCUUUGAAGCAGAGGGUACAUGGAUGCUUUGUGUGCAGUGGUGGGAACUAGGUUGUACAAAACCUCAUUGAAACCACUUCCACACUGUACCCACGCUCAACCUGUUUGUCUUGAAACGUCGUCUCAGAGAGAAGGCAGCAGAUGAAAAACAAAGUAUUAGACCCAUUUUGCGUUUCAACAAGUGCAGCAUGCAAACUGCAAAGUGUUUGUUUUACAUGUUCUGGAGGAUUUGGCAUUUCAUGGUGUGAGAAUUGGCUCCCUGCUGUGCGAAGUAUUUCAGUGUGGAUUUGCGCUGUGUGGGAAACGCUGGCAUAGUGGAAAAGAGAGGGGGAAGCUCUGCUGGGAAAGCAAGAGGGGGCUGGAUGUUAAUUCACUUGGGGCAAAAGCCUGUCCUAUCUCAAGGGGAUGGUUUGUCUUGGACAGGGUAGAAUUGACUUUUGGAGUGGUAGAGGAGGACAGGAAGUCGUUACUGGAUGCGUGUGGAAAUAAGGGAUCUCAGAUAAUUUUAGAGACGUAAAAAAGUUCAGCGAAAGUCCAUAGAUUUUUCUGGCUCAGACAAUCCCACCCUUUGAAAUGCACCCAGACAUAUGGUUAUGGACUCCAUCUUUUGAAGUGUAUGUAGGCCUUUUACCGUAUAGUGUCUUCUUCUGAGUCUUUAGGUUCAAGACCUUUGGCAGGAGUGAUUUACCCUCAGACAGAUCUUCGUGGGGCCAGGAAAUGGGCUGCCCUGCUUUAUGGGAAACGGGUUAUUACGUCUCACCAAAUUCAAGGUACCUGUCUGUGGGGAGCAGGUGACUUCUCCUGUGCUAGGUCUUCUCAAAAAGUGCUGAGAAAUUCUUCAUAUGUUUCUGUGAUGCUAUGCUAGAUUUUAUAAUACUCGAGUACAACAAUUCAUUGAGCAAUUCUGAAAUCUGUUUUCUCCAAAAGAUGAGCAAUGUUGUACAACAUUGUAGUUGUAUCACCAUAUAAAAUAAAUUUAAAAAAAUGCUGUAGAAGGUUUUGUAUAGCAAAAGGAAUAGUAGCAUUUAGUCCAUCCUAAGAAUUUUUUGUAAUUGCCAGCUAUUAUAUUGGAACUUAUUGCAGCUCAAUAACUGAACAUGGGAAGGUAUCAUUUUAAAUAACUUUCUCUGAUUUCUCCUUGUCCACAUAAAGUGAUGCCACACCCAGUCAAUGGCAGAGGCAGAUGAGUCACCCAGCUAAGAUGCAGCUUUCCGGGGUAUGUUGCUCAUGAGCUGUCAUACAGAAAAGAGGUGACAGUGUUUGGAUGUACAGGUUCCCCAUAAAUCCUAAUCGUGGCACUAGCAACCCUUGCCAUCUUUUUUAUCAUUACUGUUCUAUCAGUUUUGCAGGGUCAGAGGUAGGGACUCAGAUCCUCAGCUCUGACCUUGGCAUCUCCCUGUUGUAUUUCUCUAUAACUCUGCACACUCCUUACUCCCAGGGACAGUUGUGCAGAGAGAGGGCAGCUGUGUAGUUCUCAGAGCCAGCUGCUGCCCGCUGUGUGCUGCUCUUUCUGUUUCUCAAAUCAAACUCUCACUAAACCCACUAGAAAAGCUUCUUUUGACUUUGGUGGCCAUUGUCCUGAGCUGUUACCAGAAACAUGAAAUAGGUGUGUUAAAGCACAAAUGGGUUUUCCUCAAAGGCAGCCUCAUUUUGUGAGUAGCCAAGCAUCUUUUGCUGUACGAGAAGCACUCUCAAUUUCUGUUGGAUUCAGUGGGAGCUUUGGUGAUCAGAUCCUGCUGGGCGGUGCUCAGCCUUUGGCAGGAUAGGACCCUUUUGUGUUAUGAACCAUUCAGGGAGCUAAUGCUGAAACACAUUCAUGUAACUGUUUGAAUGCCCAGGUCAUACAGUUUAUAGAGAUCUGCUCAGAGGUGAGUGUGAAAUAGUAAUGCCUUGUACUUCCUGAGUGCCUUUCAUCUUUCCAAAUAUUUAUUAAUUAGCCCUCAAAACACCCCUGUGGGGCAGAUAAGAGAUGGAUGGUUACAGCUCCUUUCACACACCGUUGGAAUCAAGCAGCUGUCUGACUGUAUAAAACAGCAUUGCCCACAGUUUGGGGCAGAUUAGGAAGUAGAUAACAAACCUCUAUCUUGGUGCAGAAAGAGUUUAGCUAGGCAGAAUUUAAUUACCUCUGCUGGAACUUGGCCAGUCAGUCAAGGCUCACCUCACUCCUUUCAUUGCGUUCACCAUGGAGUCUGUAACUCCAUCGGGUUUUGUCCCACUCAGAGGAUGACCCCUUGCUUCAGACAGUUGCCCCAUGUCUGAAUCCAUUCUGGGUCCACUGUACAGCAGGACCUGACCUGCUUUGGCCACCUGGUGAAAUCUUUUGGGGUAGCAGCACAAGCUGGCCUUGGUAACAGUCCUUUAUACCAGGAUUUCCCCAUCCCAAAGACGACUUGGGUUGGACCAACCUGAUCCUGCAGCAAAGGGCCAAGAAAGGUGUUUCAGUAUGAGACCUGCUGUUCUGAAGGGGCAGGUUUAGAAAGUGAGCUCUUCUUUAUGCUUUAGCUAAAGCCUCUGCUUUAUUUUUAGGGGGAAAAAAAAUAAUCUUUGUUCUGUCCAGUUUGAAAAUAUGGUCAAAAAUGUGCACCUUGGACUGGCUUCAGUGGGUGUAGACUUGGGACCAGACAUCUCCCUCCUGUGGCUCUGCACAUGUCUUAUUUCCCCAAAGAUUUGCCCCUGUGCCUUUUAGCAUUACAAGAGAAGUCCUGUACCUUAUUUUGAGAUUCCCUGUUUUGUAUCCCUGGGGCAAUCGGAGCCGCAGAGCUCGAAUUCCCUUCUGUUUGCUUUUGCAGCAUGUGAUUCUAGAGCAUAAAAGCUUUGAAGCUAGAACUCAAAUUUUACCUAUUUUGUCUUAAUGCUUUUUAAUAAAUCUCCAGACUCUCUUUAAAGCUUCAGAGAGUGCAAUUUAUUGUAAAACUACAGUUACUGUAUUUUAUGUCCACUGUAAUUGCUUGUUUCAUCUAAUUCUGAUUAUACUCAUGUAUAACAAGGAAUAGCUCCAGAUAGAAAGAGAUGAAUUAUUAAUCAAGAAAGUUUUGGAAUUAAGAUUUUAAACAUACAAACUAGAUAUAUGUGCAAUAUUUAGAAAUAGAUCUGGAAGAGCUUAUGCAACGUGCUUUAAUCAAAUCUUGAAAAGAAAAUGACUAAUACAUCAAAUCUUGAAAAGGAAUUGACCAAUAAAUCAAAUCUGGAAAUGGAAGUGACAGAUAAAUCAGGUCUAAAAAAGCAAACAAUCAAUAUAUCAAAUUCAUGGUGUGUUUAUUAAAGCAAGGGAUUGCUUGUAUGUGGCUGAACCUGCAUGUUACAAUCAUGCAAUUAAAUACUUGAAAUCCUUCAAAAACAAAUUACGUGUGCAGGUGUACACACACACACCUUUCUAUACAUUCACAAAGUAAACACUUGGCUUUCUGCGGUGUUUUGAGCCAUACUACCAGCACAUAAUAUUUGCUUAAGUCUCUGGGUGUGCCUCAGUAUGAAGUCUCACCAUUUCAAUAGCCACAUGUUUCUAGACCCGAACACCUUAUUAUUCCAAGUCUUUUAAAAAUGUUAAUUAUUAGUAUAGCCCAGAUUUUUAAAAUGAUGAGACGUGCCUCAUUCUGAAAGCUUUCUGCUUUUGUUUUCUGAUUGUAAUGGUACACUAGCAGCAACACAAACUCCUUUAGCUAAUUGAAAGGAUUUUGAUAGACAGCUUGGGCCCAAAGCAUAUUUUCAAGAUCAAGACUAUAAAAAUCUCACUAUGGAAAAAUCAUCAUUUGCCUCACUGACUUUGAUUUACAUCUAUGUUACAGAGCCAUGAAAUUUAAAAUAAGAUGACCUAAAUUGUCCUGUAAUAAUGUGGGCAUGAAUGUAUACUCCUGGUGGCAGAGUUUCUCUGUCACUAUACCAAAUGAAAUCUAGUUUUUAGUGCCAAUCAGUUAGGCAUCAUUAACCCUUUAAGAAUGUUAUUAGCAUUCUCACAAAGCUUUUCAUCAUGUAACAAAUGUUUUCAGACUAAACUUGUUGAGGUCAAAGAAUCCAAGCCAGUAAGAUUUAGGACUUUUUUGUCCUCUGGAAUAAUAUGUAUACACUCUUCAUCAUGCCAAGUAUAGAUUAUUAACAAUGGUUUUAAAGUUUGCAAAAAUGCAUAAAUUAGAUUAAAAACCAACAUUUCCUAAGCUAUUCCCAAUUUAUACUGGAAAUACAUACUCUGUCCCUAUCCUUUUUUUUUUUUUUUUUU